UACGUAGGGUGCAAGCGUUGUCCGGAAUUAUUGGGCGUAAAGAGCUCGUAGGCGGUUUGUCGCGUCUGCUGUGAAAACUCGGGGCUUAACUCCGGGCCUGCAGUGGGUACGGGCAGACUAGAGUGCGGUAGGGGAGACUGGAAUCCUGGUGUAGCGGUGAAAUGCGCAGAUAUCAGGAGGAACACCGGUGGCGAAGGCGGGUCUCUGGGCCGUAACUGACGCUGGAGGAGCGAAAGCGUGGGGAGCGAACAGG
rnacentral:rRNA from 1 species